rnacentral:rRNA from 1 species
UAGGGAAUCUUCCACAAUGGACGCAAGUCUGAUGGAGCAACGCCGCGUGAGUGAAGAAGGUUUUCGGAUCGUAAAGCUCUGUUGUUGGUGAAGAAGGAUAGAGGCAGUAACUGGUCUUUAUUUGACGGUAAUCAACCAGAAAGUCACGGCUAACUACGUGCCAGCAGCCGCGGUAAUACGUAGGUGGCAAGCGUUGUCCGGAUUUAUUGGGCGUAAAGCGAGCGCAGGCGGAAUGAUGAGUCUGAUGUGAAAGCCCACGGCUCAACCGUGGAACUGCAUCGGAAACUGUCAUUCUUGAGUGCAGAAGAGGAGAGUGGAAUUCCAUGUGUAGCGGUGGAAUGCGUAGAUAUAUGGAAGAACACCAGUGGCGAAGGCGGCUCUCUGGUCUGCAACUGACGCUGAGGCUCGAAAGCAUGGGUAGCGAACAGG